rnacentral:rRNA from 1 species
AGUGGCGGACGGGUGAGUAACGCGUGAGUAACCUGCCCUUUAGUGGGGAAUAACAUCGAGAAAUCGGUGCUAAUACCGCAUAACAUCUCUUUACCGCAUGAUAGAGAGAUCAAAGGAUUUAUUCGCUAGAGGAUGGACUCGCGUCCGAUUAGCUAGUUGGUGAGGUAACGGCCCUCCAAGGCGACGAUCAGUAGCCGGACUGAGAGGUUAACCCCCCACAUUGGUACUGAGACACGGACCAAACUCCUACGGGAGGCAGCAGUGAGGAAUAUUGGUCAAUGGGCGCAAGCCUGAACCAGCCAUGCCGCGUGCAGGAAGACGGCUCUAUGAGUUGUAAACUGCUUUUGUAUAGGGGUAAAAUCGGGUACGCGUACCUGACUGAAAGUACUAUACGAAUAAGGGUCGGCUAACUCCGUGCCAGCAGCCGCGGUAAUACGGAGGACCCAAGCGUUAUCCGGAUUUACUGGGUGUAAAGGGGGCGCAGGCGGGAAGCUAAGUUGGAUGUGAAAUACCGGGGCUCAACUCCGGAGCUGCAUCCAAAACUGGUUUUCUUGAGUGGAGUAGAGGCAAGCGGAAUUCCGAGCGUAGCGGUGAAAUGCGUAGAUAUUCGGAGGAACACCAGUGGCGAAGGCGGCUUGCUGGGCUCUAACUGACGCUGAGGCCCGAAAGCGUGGGGAGCAAACAGGAUUAGAUACCCUGGUAGUCCACGCCGUAAACGAUGAUUACUCGUUGUUGGGGAUAGACCGUUCAGCGCCCAAGCGGAAAGCGAUAAGUAAUCCACCUGGGGAGUACGUUGGCAACAAUGAAACUCAAAGGAAUUGACGGGGGCCCGCACAAGCGGAGGAACAUGUGGUUUAAUUCGAUGAUACGCGAGGAACCUUACCCGGGCUUGAAAGUUAGUGACGGACAUGGAAACAUGUCUUCCCUUCGGGGCACGAAACUAGGUGCUGCAUGGUUGUCGUCAGCUCGUGCCGUGAGGUGUCGGAUUAAGUUCCAUAACGAGCGCAACCCCUGCUGCCAGUUACCAGCGAGUGAUGUCGGGGACUUUGGCGGGACUGCCGGUGUAAGCCGUGAGGAAGGUGGGGAUGACGUCAAAUUAGCACGGCCCUUACGUCCGGGGCGACACACGUGUUACAAUGGUAGGUACAGAGGGCAGCUACUCAGCGAUGAGGUGCAAAUCUCGAAAGCCUAUCUCAGUUCGGAUUGGAGGCUGAAACUCGCCUCCAUGAAGUUGGAUUCGCUAGUAAUCGCGCAUCAGCCAUGGCGCGGUGAAUACGUUCCCGGGCCUUGCACACACCGCCCGUCAAG